AACGUAGGUGGCGAGCGUUAUCCGGAUUUACUGGGCGUAAAGCGUGUGCAGGCGGGGUGACAAGUGGUGUAUGAAAUCUCCGGGCUAAACCUGGAGGGGUUAUGCCAGACUGUCAUUCUAGAGUGCGAGAGAGGGGCGUGGAAUUCCGGGUGUAGUGGUGAAAUGUGUAGAGAUCGGGAGGAACACCGGUGGCGAAGGCGGGUCUCUGGGCAUCUCCUGACGCUGAGGCGCGAAAGCGUGGGGAGCAAACGGG
rnacentral:rRNA from 1 species